rnacentral:lncRNA from 1 species
GGAGACCCGAAUUACCUGAGAUAAAUUGGCAAGAUUGUUUUUGUAUUUGUUUCUUCGUCUAUUUACUUUGCAGUGAAACUGAAUCUGAAAAGAAGCGCAAAGAAGCCAAAAAAAGGGAAAAAGAAACACUGAAAAGUAAGAAGGAGAUGGCAAAGAAACGGGAUGAAGAGAAGAAAAAGAGGAUCAAAGAGAUGAUAAAGGAGACUGAAAGAGAAACUGAUGAUGAUAAGAUGAAAAGUAAAUCGGUUUGUAAGGUGAUCAAGGAUGGUCAAGUUAUAAAUAAAGAUUUACUGGUGAAAAGGCGGCAAGUGAAAACUGUGACUCC